rnacentral:ncRNA from 1 species
GUCAAAGGUGGCGCGGCGCCUUCGAGCGCAGCGUCGAAUGCGCAAUACCUAAACGAAGAACGGUAGAUAAG